rnacentral:misc_RNA from 1 species
GGAAGUAAAAGUCGUAACGAGGUUUCCGUAGGUGAACCUGCGGAAGGUUCAUUAUUGUAUAACCGAGGUGCGAGGGCUGUCGCUGACCCGAAAGUUCCUGCACGCCCGAGUGCCCUCACACCCAUCCAUCUCACCCCUCUUUGCACCACCGCGUGGGUCCCCCUUUGGCUUGUUCGGAGGGGGGCUUACGUUUUCACACAACCUUUGUAUGCAGUGUAGAAUGUAUUUUUUGUGUUUGGGAUCACGCAAUCAAUACAACUUUCAACAACGGAUCUCUUGGCUCUC